CCUACGGGAGGCAGCAGUGGGGAAUAUUGCACAAUGGGCGAAAGCCUGAUGCAGCAACGCCGCGUGAGUGAUGAAGGCCUUCGGGUUGUAAAGCUCUGUCUUUUGGGACGAUAAUGACGGUACCAAAGGAGGAAGCCACGGCUAACUACGUGCCAGCAGCCGCGGUAAUACGUAGGUGGCAAGCGUUGUCCGGAUUUACUGGGCGUAAAGGAUGCGUAGGUGGAUAUUUAAGUGGGAUGUGAAAUACCCGAGCUCAACUUGGGUGCUGCAUUCCAAACUGGAUAUCUAGAGUGCAGGAGAGGUAAGUGGAAUUCCUAGUGUAGCGGUGAAAUGCGUAGAGAUUAGGAAGAACACCAGUGGCGAAGGCGACUUACUGGACUGUAACUGACACUGAGGCAUGAAAGCGUGGGGAGCAAACAGGAUUAGAUACCCUGGUAGUCCACGCCGUAAACGAUGGGUACUAGGUGUAGGAGGGUCCAACCUUCUUGCCGCCG
rnacentral:rRNA from 1 species